rnacentral:rRNA from 1 species
UACAGAGGUCCCAAGCGUUGUUCGGAUUCAUUGGGCGUAAAGGGUGCGUAGGCGGCGCGGUAAGUCGGGUGUGAAAUCUCGGGGCUUAACUCCGAAACUGCAUUCGAUACUGCCGUGCUUGAGGACUGGAGAGGAGACUGGAAUUUACGGUGUAGCGGUGAAAUGCGUAGAUAUCGUAAGGAAGACCAGUGGCGAAGGCGGCCAUCUGGACCAGCACUGACGCUGAGGCACGAAAGCGUGGGGAGCAAACAGG